UAAUCGCGCAUCAGCCACGGCGCGGUGAAUACGUUCCCGGGCCUUGUACACACCGCCCGUCACACCAUGAGAGUUGGGAAUACCCGAAGCCUGUGAGCUAACGUAAGAGGCAGCAGUCGAAGGUAGAAUCAAUGAUUGGGGUGAAGUCGUAACAAGGUACC
rnacentral:rRNA from 1 species